UACGGGGGGGGCAAGCGUUGUUCGGAAUUACUGGGCGUAAAGGGCUCGUAGGUGGCCAACUAAGUCAUACGUGAAAUCCCUCGGCUUAACCGGGGAACUGCGUCUGAUACUGGGUGGCUUGAAUCCGGGAGAGGGAUGCGGAAUUCCAGGUGUAGCGGUGAAAUGCGUAGAUAUCUGGAGGAACACCGGUGGCGAAGGCGGCAUCCUGGACCGGCAUUGACGCUGAGGCGCGAAAGCCAGGGGAGCAAACGGG
rnacentral:rRNA from 1 species